rnacentral:lncRNA from 1 species
CGGCGUCUCAUCCUGCAGCUGCUGCUGGAGGUAGCGCAGCUUCUCCUGGGUGGUAAGGGAGGACGGGGUCACAGCGUCCAGCCGCUUUCCUCCCGCAACCACCUCCACCCCAAAAUCCGCUCCAGUACUCCCCGAGAUUGGAAGUAGAACGCCUGUGGGGACAGUAUGUUGGAAGUCUCACUGGCUGUCAUUAGGGAGGGGAGGCACCAUUUGAGGCCCAGUUGGACUCCAAUUCCCGCUAACCUCCCACAGCCUGCCUCCAGGUAUCCACCCGGCCCUCCAAGCCCUCCAGGCGUCAAAUACCAGUCCCGGCCACUUGGCAAGAACAACUGAAGCUUUCUCAGCAUUUUGUUGGAAAAUGAGUGGGCAUGUGGACAGGACGGGCCUUCUCACCUGAAGUCCAGCUCGAUUCUCUUUCUGGGACCUGAAUGUGACUGCAGGGCAAGAGUCCCCCAUCUGGGUGUUGGAGCCUCAUUUGAAUCCCUCUUAUCAGCGAGUUCUAAGGAUGACUAUGUGCACGAAGGUGCAGUGUGGUGGUGGUGUCGGGGCAGGGAGUUCCACCUAAAAGUGUAUCUUGAGUCCCUCGUGCAUCUGACCUCCUCCCACAAAUCCUGGGACUGCCCCCUAGCCCUUACCUCCAGCAGGGCAGAAUUCUGCUUCAAGACGUUGGUUUUGAUUUCAGCAUCUUCCACAGACCGGGUCACCUUCCAGCAGUUCUCCUGGAUUCUCGCUCAGCACAGAACACUCGCUCUGGAGCAUGGAAGGAGGAGAGGUUAGCCAAGGACACGAGGGGACAGCCUGUGGAAAAGAAGAUCUGGGCCUGGGAAGGUUCCUUUUCUUUCUGAGCCUCAAGCUCCCCAACUGAGCUAUGGGUGCAUUCUGCUGGAGGCAGGCUCCAAGAAGGGAACUUGGCCCUGGAGGAAGGGCAGGUGUUGGAUAUAGGGGGUCCUCACACCUGCAGAGACUGCACGUGCUGGUUAACCCGGUUGGUCUUUUCCUUCAAGCUGGUGAUGGAGUCUUUGGCGCGGACCAAUCCACUGUUGACCCCACUCUGGGGAAGAAUGGGAGACAGGGCUGUCUUGGACCAGCAGAUAGAGGACACAAUGAAACAGAAGAAGCCUGAAUCCUUGACAUGGAGCCACCAUACUCCAUUCCAACCACCUGUGAAGACUUUCAGGGGAACGAUAGCCUCAAUGUCAUAAGCAGCCACCUAUGAAGAGGCCCAUGUAGCAAGGAAUUGAGGCCUCCAGCCAAGGGCAGGUGAGUGCCCCAUUUUGGUAGCACAACCUCUGGCCCCAGUCCAACCUUCAGGUGACUGCAGCCCCAGCCAAAAUCUUGUUUGCAACCUCGUGAGACGCCCUGAGCCAGGCCCACCCAGCUGAGCCCCUCCAAGUUUGUUGUUUGAAGUUUUGGUGUAAUUGGUUUCACAGCAAUAGAAAGCAUUACACAAAGUGUCUUUCUAACCUGAAGACUCAGAAGGUCUUGGGUUUCCUGUGGGUAAUUGUUCUGGAAACCAAGGCAACAGGACCUAGGGCCAACUAAUUUCUCCCAGUUACUAGCCGUAUGACCUCAUGGAGAGGACUUCACCUCUCUGUGCCUCUGCUUCCCUACCUGUGAAAUGGAGAUAUAACUAACAACUACCUUCACAGGGUUCCCAUUGUCCUUCCUCCUACCUGGAAACUGACACUCUCUCAACCAGGGUCUCCAUCACCGCCUGGUUCUCUGUCCCCCUCUUUCCAGUUCUCUGUCCCCACCCAGCCCCUGUGUCUGUUCCUUCUCUCUCUGGGUCUCUAUCCCCCUCCUCUAUUUCUGGUCUUCUGUCUCACCCUGAUUCAGCUCUGUCCCCCAAAUCUCAGAGUCUCUGACUUAUUUUUCCUGAGUCUCUGCCUUUCUACUCUUUAGGUCUCUGUCUUCUUUUUUUUUUUUUUUUUUUGAGAUAGAGUCUCACUCUGUCACCAGGCUGGAGUGCAGUGGCACGAUCUCGGCUCUCUGCAACCUCCACCUCCCGAGUUCAAGCGAUUCUCCUGCCUCAGCCUCCCGAGUAGCUGGGAUUACAGGCAUGUGCCCCCCUCUGUCUCUGGGUCUCUGUCCUCCUCUCUCUCUGGGUCUCUGUCCUCCUCUCUCUUGGUCUCUGUCCCCCACUCUCUGGGUCUCUGUCCCCCUCUCCCUGGUCUCCCUUCCCCUCUCUCUGGGUCUCUGUUCCCCUCUCUCUCUCUGGGUCUCUGUCUCCCUCUCUCUCUGGGUCUCUGUGUCCUUCUCUCUGCCUGUCCCCGCCUUCUCUCUGGAUGCAGCUCAGGUGCUGGGUGCUGGUUCCAGCUCCUGCUGCCCCCCUCACCUCUCCAGCAGGCACCCCAAGGUCAUUACUUUUUCCAUUUCACAGAGAAGGAACUUGAAGCCCGUUAGAGGCCGACACUCCCCUGCAGCCCCACAGCGAGCUGGCAGCUGUGUCAGACCUUGAUCCUGGCUGCCUGGGGUACUUUCUCAGGCUUCACGAUCCAGUGGGGGAUGUGACUCAGAAAUAGCUCUGGUGGGAGGCAAACGGCUGCAAGUGCUGCCUGAGGGACACUCCCCAAGACAGGGCGGAGAGCUCUUCUGUCUGAGGGAGGAGAUGUCUCCCAGACAUCCUUCCCAGCCCAGACUCUUUGCCCUGUUCUCUGCAGCUCCUCCUCCUUCCCUGGACCCUCGCCCAGGCUCCCCUCUGGCCUCCCUGCCUCAGUCUCUCCCCUCCAAACAUCCCCCACUCAGCCCAAGGGAGUCUUGGGGAGAGAAAGCCCUUUUGCAUUAGUGACAAAAGCAGCAGCCUUCUUGUCUUGGUCCUGCUUCUUACAACCCCUCCAACCUUGACCUUGUGGAGGUUACUACACCACUGUCUACCUUAGUUGUUUCUUUUUUUUUUUUGAGACGGAGUUUUGCUCUUGUUGCCCAGGCUGGAGUGCAAUGGCACGAUUUCGGUUCACUGCAACCUCUGCCUCCCAGGUUCAAGC